rnacentral:ncRNA from 1 species
UUUUUUUUUGAAAGGAGAGAGGAAUGUCCCUUUCAAAUAGAUGGGAAUUUCUUAGGUAAACUGCUAAACAUAUUUAAAUAAGGCAAAUGAGGCUUUAUCUUCUGGCUUUAAAAUUUUAU